GGGGGCUGGGGACGGGCUGCUGGGUGGCGGGUCGCUGGCCCAGCCUGGUCCCUGCCGGCCCCCCCUGUGCCCCAGAUCAGCUCCCGGGAGCCCCACGCUGGGGUUCUCCCGUGCAGUAACAGGUGUGAGCAUCCAUGCAGCAUUUUGAUGGUCAUGUAUGAUACUGCAUACAACA